GCCUCUGUGGCUCAAAGGAGUAGGGUGCCGGCCUCAUAUGCCGGAGGUGGCAGGUUCAAACCCAGCCCUGGCCA
rnacentral:tRNA from 1 species